CGAAAGUAUGCUAGUGGCAAGGA
rnacentral:miRNA from 14 species